AAGUUCAACCAAGCAAGUGUGAAAUGUGAAAAGGGUCAAAUACAUUUUACAGUCCGGUAUCAACAUAAGUUAAUUGGUUGCAACUUGCCAAAGUAAAGGGCGAUCAAUGGUUUUUCAGCUAGGAGAAAGAUCAGAGCUCGUCUUAAUGAAAGUUUUCUGGACGCAUAAACAUUCGAUUAUACGGAGUCCCAGUUGACAUUGUUACCCUUUCUCCCGAUAUUCGCAUUCUACAAUCUGUUGUAUUUUUUGCCCAACAUAUUCAUGAUUU
rnacentral:misc_RNA from 1 species